UACGUAGGUGACAAGCGUUGUCCGGAUUUACUGGGCGUAAAGAGCGCGCAGGCGGUCGUUCAAGUCGAGUGUGAAAGCCCCCGGCUCAACUGGGGAGGGUCAUUCGAUACUGAUCGACUCGAAGGCAGGAGAGGGUAGUGGAAUUCCCGGUAUAGUGGUGAAAUGCGUAGAUAUCGGGAGGAACACCAGUGGCGAAGGCGACUACCUGGCCUGUUCUUGACGCUGAGGCGCGAAAGCUAGGGGAGCAAACGGG
rnacentral:rRNA from 1 species